rnacentral:misc_RNA from 1 species
GCAACUUGUUGAACACAUGACAAUUAUGUCAGCUUAGGAACAUUAAAAACAAACAAAUAAAAAAAAAGUAGAUGAACUUAUUAUCAAAGAUAAAAUUUUGAGCUCAUGCAAACUCUCAAUCUCAUAAUAAAACAUUCCCAUCAAGUGUACCUGAAAUGUAUGGCGACUAUAAAACCUUCCAUAAUUAAGCAUUUACAAACAUAUUGUCUUACCAUUGAUAGAAAAAGUUUUAACUAGUUUUAAAAUACCAUUUUAACUUUUUCUCAUCUUUGACAUGGCAGGAUUAUUGCUGAAUA